UGGGGAAUCUUAGACAAUGGGGGCAACCCUGAUCUAGCCAUGCCGCGUGAGUGAUGAAGGCCUUAGGGUUGUAAAGCUCUUUCAGCUGGGAAGAUAAUGACGGUACCAGCAGAAGAAGCCCCGGCUAACUCCGUGCCAGCAGCCGCGGUAAUACGGAGGGGGCUAGCGUUGUUCGGAAUUACUGGGCGUAAAGCGCACGUAGGCGGACCGGAAAGUCAGAGGUGAAAUCCCAGGGCUCAACCUUGGAACUGCCUUUGAAACUAUCGGUCUGGAGUUCGAGAGAGGUGAGUGGAAUUCCGAGUGUAGAGGUGAAAUUCGUAGAUAUUCGGAGGAACACCAGUGGCGAAGGCGGCUCACUGGCUCGAUACUGACGCUGAGGUGCGAAAGCGUGGGGAGCAAACA
rnacentral:rRNA from 1 species